AUUUGAUUUCAGGAAUGAAACAUCAAGUAAAUCAAACCUAGAAUGUCUGCAGGAACCGGAUUUAAGAUGUGGAAAGAUGACAUCUCUGGCCCGGGGUCACACAGCUAGUAGCCACUGAUUGAAUCCAGACUAUUUUAAUGAGCGUUCAGAUUCUUAGCCCUCCCGCUGCAGUGGGAAAGACUUAAUGAGAAUGUGAACUUACAAGUGAUUACUUUUUCGGCCUUUCUGACCCUUUCAUAGCAGUCUUAUUUAUAAUAGCCAGGAGCUGGAAAGAACCCAGAUGUCCUUCAACAGAGG
rnacentral:lncRNA from 1 species